UACAUUUGCACCCGAAUUGGUAUCGAUACACCAGCAGGUGUGUUGAUUAAAAGGGAACCGGGUGUGAAUCCCGGACAGGCCCGCUGCUGUGAAGCACGUGAACGUUCCAAAAAAAUCUGCGACCACUGGUCAUAACGGCCGGGAAGGUUUAGGAAUGAGUGUGUUAGUCAGAAGACCUGCCAAUUCAAGUAAAUGUCA
rnacentral:ncRNA from 2 species